UUAGUUACAGAUACAGGUGAGUGGUAGCUUAGUUACAGAUACAGGUGAGUGGUAGCUUAGUUACAGGUGAGUUGUAGCUUACAGAUACAGGUGAGUUGUAGCUGAGUUAAGAAAUACAGGUGAGUUGUAGCUUAGUUUCAGAUACAGGUGAGUUCUAGCUUAGUUCCAGAUACAGGUGAGUUCUAGCUUAGUUCCAGAUACAGGUGAAUUCUAGCUGAGUUACAGAUACAGGUGAGUUGUAGCUGAGUUACAGAUACAUUUGAGUUGUAGCUUACAGAUACAGGUGAGUUGUAGCUCACAGAUACAGGUGAGUUGUAGCUUACAGAUACAGGUGAGUUGUGGCUUACAGAUACAGGUGAGUUGUAGCUUAGUUACAGAUACAGGUGAGUUGUAGCUUAGUUACAGAUACAGGUGAGUUGUAGCUUAGUUACAGAUACAGGUGAUUUGUGGCUUAGUUACAGAUACAGGUGAGUUGUAGCUUACAGAUACAGGUGAUUUGUGGCUUAGUUACAGAUACAGGUGAGUUGUAGCUUAGUUACAGAUACAGGUGAGUUGU